rnacentral:rRNA from 1 species
AACGAACGCUGGCGGCGUGCCUAACACAUGCAAGUCGAGCGCGAAAAGGGCAACCUGAGUAGAGCGGCGCACGGGUGCGUAACACGUGGGUAAUCUGCCUUAGAGUCGAGGAUAACCUUCCGAAAGGUUGGCUAAUACUCGGUAAGCUUACGGUGUCUUCGGACGCUGUGGGAAAAGUAGGCCUCUGUUUACAAGCUUACGCUCUGAGAUGAGCCCGCGGCCCAUCAGCUAGUUGGCGGUGUAACGGACCACCAAGGCAACGACGGGUAGCUGGUCUGAGAGGACGAUCAGCCACACUGGAACUGAGACACGGUCCAGACUCCUACGGGAGGCAGCAGUGGGGAAUUUUCCACAAUGGGCGAAAGCCUGAUGGAGCAACGCCGCGUGUGUGAUGAAGGUUUUCGGAUCGUAAAGCACUUUCGACCGGGACGAAAAACCUUUGGCUAACAUCCAGGGGUCUGACGGUACCAGGAGAAGAAGCACCGGCUAACUCUGUGCCAGCCGCCGCGGUAAAAC